rnacentral:rRNA from 1 species
UGCCCAAGAGAUCGGGAUAACACCUGGAAACAGAUGCUAAUACCGGAUAACAACAGAUGAUGCCUAUCAACUGCUUAAAAGAUGGUUCUGCUAUCACUCUUGGAUGGACCUGCGGUGCAUUAGCUAGUUGGUAGGGUAACGGCCUACCAAGGCGAUGAUGCAUAGCCGAGUUGAGAGACUGAUCGGCCACAUUGGGACUGAGACACGGCCCAAACUCCUACGGGAGGCAGCAGAG